rnacentral:rRNA from 1 species
GGCGGCGUGCCUAAUACAUGCAAGUCGAGCGGACCAAAUCGGAGCUUGCUCUGAUUUGGUCAGCGGCGGACGGGUGAGUAACACGUGGGCAACCUGCCCGCAAGACCGGGAUAACUCCGGGAAACCGGAGCUAAUACCGGAUAACACCGAAGACCGCAUGGUCUUUGGUUGAAAGGCGGCCUUUGGCUGUCACUUGCGGAUGGGCCCGCGGCGCAUUAGCUAGUUGGUGAGGUAACGGCUCACCAAGGCGACGAUGCGUAGCCGGCCUGAGAGGGUGACCGGCCACACUGGGACUGAGACACGGCCCAGACUCCUACGGGAGGCAGCAGUAGGGAAUCUUCCGCAAUGGGCGAAAGCCUGACGGAGCGACGCCGCGUGAGCGAAGAAGGCCUUCGGGUCGUAAAGCUCUGUUGUGAGGGACGAAGGAGCGCCGUUCGAAGAGGGCGGCGCGGUGACGGUACCUCACGAGGAAGCCCCGGCUAACUACGUGCCAGCAGCCGCGGUAAUACGUAGGGGGCGAGCGUUGUCCGGAAUUAUUGGGCGUAAAGCGCGCGCAGGCGGUUCCUUAAGUCUGAUGUGAAAGCCCACGGCUCAACCGUGGAGGGUCAUUGGAAACUGGGGGACUUGAGUGCAGGAGAGGAGAGCGGAAUUCCACGUGUAGCGGUGAAAUGCGUAGAGAUGUGGAGGAACACCAGUGGCGAAGGCGGCUCUCUGGCCUGCAACUGACGCUGAGGCGCGAAAA